rnacentral:rRNA from 1 species
UAAGUCGGGGCCUAAGGCGAGGUCGAAAGACGUAGUCGAUGGAUAACAGGUAAAGAUUCCUGUACUAUAUCAUAACAGAACUGUGGGGACGCAGAAAGAGAGCCUGAGCCGGGAAAGGGAAAACCGGCGCAAGCGGGGUAGGGGCCAUGCAGGCAAAUCCGCAUGGCAACCCGAAGACGUGACGCGGAGCGAACAAAAGUAGCGAAGCAGGUGAGCUGGCUGCCAAGAAAAGCCGCUAUCGUUCAUAUGAUACCCGUACCGUAAACCGACACAGGUGGAUGAGGAGAGAAUCCUAAGGCCGGCGGAAGAAGCAUUGUUAAGGAACUCGGCAAAAUGGCCCCGUAACUUAGGGAUAAGGGGUGCCUGGGAAACCAGGCCGCAGAGAAUAGGCUCAAGCAACUGUUUAGCAAAAACACAGGUCUAUGCGAAACCGAAAGGUGAGGUAUAUGGGCUGACGCCUGCCCGGUGCUGGAAGGUUAAGAGGAGAGGUUAGCGCAAGCGAAGCUUUGAAUUUAAGCCCCAGUAAACGGCGGCCGUAACUAUAACGGUCCUAAGGUAGCGAAAUUCCUUGUCGGGUAAGUUCCGACCCGCACGAAAGGCGUAAUGAUUUGAGCGCUGUCUCGACAAUGCAUCCGGUGAAAUUGAAGUACCAGUGAAGAUGCUGGUUACCUGCGCCAGGACGGAAAGACCCCAUGGAGCUUUACUCCAGUCUGGUACUGGGACUCGGUAUUGCAUGUACAGGAUAGGUGGGAGGCUAGGAGAUGGUAACGCCAGUUGCCAUGGAGCCGCUGUUGGGAUACCACCCUUGCAGUAUUGGAUUUCUAACCAGCUGCCGUGACCCGGCAGUGGGACAAUGUCAGGCGGGGAGUUUGACUGGGGCGGUCGCCUCCGAAAGGGUAUCGGAGGCGCUCAAAGGUUCCCUCAGAAUGGUUGGAAACCAUUCGAAGAGUGCAAAGGCAGAAGGGAGCUUGACUGCGACACCGACGGGUGGAGCAGGUACGAAAGUAGGACUUAGUGAUCCGGUGGUAUGAAAGUGGGAUUGCCAUCGCUCAACGGAUAAAAGCUACCCUGGGGAUAACAGGCUUAUCACUCCCAAGAGUUCACAUCGACGGAGUGGUUUGGCACCUCGAUGUCGGCUCAUCGCAUCCUGGGGCUGUAGCAGGUCCCAAGGGUUGGGCUGUUCGCCCAUUAAAGCGGUACGCGAGCUGGGUUCAGAACGUCGUGAGACAGUUCGGUCCCUAU